GGUCAGUUUAAACUGAGUGAUGAUGCUUGGCACCUGUCCCUGGCCUGCCUCUAGAGUCUGCGCCCAGAGGUUUCCUCGUGGGGCAGGAGGGGAGUUUCCACGCUGCCCGAGUGCGCCGAGGGUCGCCAGUGUGGAGGUGGUCCUGCGCGAGGCAUCUGCCAGGUGGGAAGAAGGCCUGGGACAAAGGAUUUGCUGAGGCAGAGAGGAGGGGCAGCAGAGAGGAGGGGACAGUGCCCCUCUGUCCCCAGGGCCUCACUAAUCCUUCCUCCUCCCCCGGGCGCCACUGCUCAGCCAUUCUGAGGCUCCUGGAAGCUUUGCAGUUCGCAGACUUCUCCUGUCGACAUCUAUAAUUCAGAAAUGAUGACAAAGAUUCAGAAGAUAAUCCUGGGGUCAGGCUGACACUCCGAAGGCAGACCUAGAACUUUUGCAGACCCCAGGCCCACCGUCUACUCCCCAGUUUUAUUUCAGUCUCACUGCAAGUGAAGAGACCUGGAAGAGACCGCUGAAAGGAUUACCUCCUGGUUGAUGCAUUUAGAGGAAAGACCAGUGGUCAGAAUACCUGUUAAAAUGGACGUACAGAAAUGCAGUCUGGAGAAGAUGCUUCACAUCCGCACUGACAAUUGGCGAGGUAGAUGGGAAACUGACGGCCGAGACGAAAAGGCCCCGACCCGCACACGUUUGGGAUCCUUUUGUCUGACAGAAGCACCAGCUCGGCUCCUGCUUUGGGGCUGGAGGCUCACACAUGAAGCAACUGGUGUGCAAAUCCUGGGUUCCUGGGUGCCCAAGCCCGUGCCAGGCACCCAGGUGAGAGCAAGACAGUGGGCAGAAGUUGCGGGGAAGCCGAAUGGUGUCCGUGCAAAGGAAAAUUUCCUGACAGAAGGCUCCGUCCAAGUAAGUGCCUCUAGAAGUCCCGAGCUCCCUCACGUUGGAGGUAAACAAGACGGCGGGCGGAGGCAGGCAGCCUCAUGGUGGAGAUAUUUUAGAGCUGUUUACCCGAGUGCGGAACCCGCACCUCUGGCAGGAUGCCCGAUGAUUUUCGAUGGUGCAUUGACAACACAUUAAAUCACACUGAAUCCCAUAGUGAGAAAGUUA